CUAAUGAUGAUGGUAUCUCGAGGAUGAUGUUAUCUAUUAACUACGGUAUCUACGGAUCAUGUUAUUUACGAAUGAUAGUAUCUACGGAUGAUGGUAUCUACUGAUAAUGAUAUCUAUGAUUGAUGGUAUCAACGGAUGAUGGUAUCUACGGAUGAUGGUAUCUACGGAUGAUGGUAUUUACGAAUGAUGGUAUUUACGAAUGAUAGUAUCUACGGAGAAAGUUAUCUACGGAUAAUGGUAUCUACGGAUGAUGGUAUCUACGGAUAAUGGUUUCUACGGAUGAUUGCAUCUACGGAUGAUGGUCAGUACGGACGAUGGUAUGUAAUGAUGUUGGUAUGUAUGGAAAAUGGUAUAUACGAAUGAUGGUGUGUGCGAAUCAUUGGGAAUACGGACUAUGGUAUCAAUUGAUCAUGAUAGAAUGAAGUUAUGUACUGACCGUGGUAUCUAAGGACGAUGUCAUCUACGGGUUAUGCUAUCUACUGAUGAUGGUUUGUAAGGAUGAUAUUACGUACGGAUUAUGGUAUGUACGGAUCAUGUUAUCUACGGAUGAUGGUCUUUACGUGUGAUGAUGUCUUCUGAUCAUGGAAGAAACGGAUCAUGGUAUUUACGGAUGAUGACAUAAACGGAUGAUGGCAUCUACGGAUGCUAGUAUCUACGGAUCAAAGCAUAGAUCUAUGGAUGAUGGUAUGCACGGAUAGUGGUAUGUACGGCGGAUGACAUUUACGAAGAUGGUAUCUACGGAUUAUGGUAUCUACGGAACAUGUUGUCUAUGGAUUAUGGUUUCACUAAUAAUGGUUUAAACGGAUGAUGGUUUCUACAGAUCAUGGUAUCAACGGAUCCUGGUAUCAAUGGAUCAUGGUUUCUACGAUUGAUGGUAUCUGCAUAUGAUUAUAUCUACGAAUAAUUAUAUCUAUUGAUUAUGGCAUGGGCGGAUCCAAGGGAGGGUGGGGCGAACGCGGCGUACGCCCCCCCCCCUUAAAUCGCCAAAGUAAAAUAAAUUCAUUUGAUGUUUUACACUUAACUAGAUCUAAAUCACCUAUUUAAACUCAUUUUCUUCUUUUCCGUACACAACAUUUCCCAAUAUCACAGACAAUCGCUUUAUGUUUUAAUUUGAGAUUCUCUGUCGCCCUGUUUUUCAAGUCGAACUUUGCGAUUGUGAUGUAUCCCUCUUUUUGCACAUUGAUUCUCUUUUCGCUGCAUUUUAUGUCAACAAAGAUGGAUGCGCCAACGCCACAACGAGCGAAAAUGCAGAAGAUCACAAUCUCAAAAAAUCGUGGAGUUUCCGGGGGGAUUCGCCCCCCCCCCCCCUGGAGCCACUAGCAGGACUUUGCUCUGCGCCCACCAGCAAAUUGUUCAAUAUCACGCCCUCCCCCCUAACCAGAAAUCCUGGAACAACCCCUGGAUUAUGGUAUCUACUGAUCAUGGUUUAUAUAGUAUCAAGAGGAUAAAGGUAUCUACUUAUUACGAUAUCGACGCAUGAUUGUAUCUACAGAUUAUGGUACCUACGUAUGAAGGUAUCUCAGAUAAUGUUAUCUACGUAUAAUGGUAUCUACGUAUGAAGGUUUCUCAGAUUUCUAUGCAUCAUGGUAUCUCCAGACCAUGGUAUCUACGGAUGAUUGUAUUUAUAGAUCAUGGUAUCUUCCAAUGAUGGGUUUUUCAGAUGAAGGUAUAUGCGGAGGAUGGUAUCAACUGAUAAUGGUAUCUAAUGAUGUUAUCAACGGAUGAUGUUAUCUAAAAACGAUGCUAUCAACGGAUGAUGGUACUAGUAACGUGUAAAGGCAAAGUACUUAAUCGUUAACACAGAGCCUACACUAAUUUCUAAGACUAGAAUAACUUUGAGACACUUUGUUGUCAUCAAAUAUGUUCUUCAUACAAUUAAACUAUACAUUCUUAAUUGCUCUGACUAAAGCACGUAGUACGCAAAAUAUUCUUGCAGAUCAAAACACAACCGGUAAGAAGUAAAUAAUUACGUGACGUCGUGGUUACGUACGUGACGUCACAAACAAAAGCGCCAUUCUUAGCGAUAAUAUCAACCGUUACAAGCUCUGUUUAAAUCAGCGGAAAUCAUGAGUCUAUUAAAGAAUAUAGCGUCGGAUUGCUACAAAAAUAGCAGCUUAUGUUAUCUACGGAUGAUGGUAUCUAUGGAUCGCGAUACCUACGGGUGAUGGUAUCUACAGUGAGUGUGAGGGACCGAAUGAGGAAUACAGCCGCACAUCAGAAUGGUGAAGACUGGUUUAUUUACUGAACAGUGUGAGGGACCGAAUGAGGAAUACAACUACACAUCAAAAUGAUGAAUAAUGGUUUAUUGACUGAACAGUGUGAGGGCCCACAUGCGGUAUACAGCCGCACACCUGAAUGGUGAAGACUGAUUUAUUUAAUGAACAGUGUGAGGGACCGAAUGAGGAAAACAGCCGCACACCAGAAUGGUGAAGACUGGUUUAUUGAUUGAACAGUGUGAGGGACCGAAUGAGGAAAACAGCCGCACACCAGAAUGGUGAAGACUGGUUUAUUUAAUGAACAAUGUGAGGGACCGAAUGAGGAAUACAGCCGCAGACCAGAAUGGUGAAGACUGGUUUAUUGAUUGAACAGUGUGAGGGACCGAAUGAGGAAUACAGCCGCAAACCAUAAUGGUGAAGACUGGUUUAUUGAUUGAACAGUGUGAGGGACCGAAUGAGGAAUACAGCCGCACACCAGAAUGGUGAAGACAGGUUUAUUUAAUGAACAGUGUGAGGGACCGAAUGAGGAAUACAUCCGCACAGCAGAAUGGUGAAGACUGGUUUAUUGAUUGAACAGUGUUAGGGCCAAAAUGCGAAAUACAACCGCACAUCAGAAUGAUGAAGACUAGUUUAUUGACUGUACAAUGAGGGACCGAAUGAGGAAUACAACAUCACAUCCGAAUGAUGAAGACUUGUUUAUUGACUGACCAGUUUGAGGGCCUCGAUACGGAAUUAAAGGGCCCCUUUUCACAGAUGUUUGCAUGUAUUGAAGUUUUUCAUUAAAUGCUUUGUAUUGAUAAA